UAUCCCUGACAAUGACCACAAUGAUGUUACACUGCUACCAUCGCCAGCUGGACGCAGCCCACCUCCAGGGGGAGGCGAUUAGCAUGCGGUCCAGCUGUGCGUUCCACACGGCCGGCGGCUAUUCUGUGGGCGUGGCUAGCGCCAAUUAUUAUGGUAUUUAGCAGGGGCCGGUGAGGCACCAUCUGUGUCUCCAGUUUCCCUGCAAGGCUGAAUUGAAGUUGAACUGCUGCCAUUGUUGACUGUAUUUAUUCCUUGAAAAAGGCCCCGUCAGGGACCGAAACGUUGGACAUUGCUGGAGAUCGUUUGAUACUUCAUAUGAACUUAGAUGUUGACUGCUAGAUGAUAUGCCACAGUACGCCAUCUAGAAACGUAUAAGGUGUGUAGAACAUUAUUUCCGAAGUUACGGGACAUGAUGGAAUGGCGGGAUUUUCCUGGCCUCCAUAACAACUGGGUUCAAGGACAAUUUCCAGAGACCUGCACUACCAAACAAAACUAUCCUGUCUUGAGCGGAAAUGUUCCAGCAAACAGGGUCUGUGGCUAUUCCGGCAGAGCCUGCAGCACCACGAGCAAUGUGCAAGGAUGGAAAAAAGCCCCAACACGUCAGGCGGUCGGGCCGGAGCUGUGUCACUUCCGCGGGGCGUAGUGAAUGCAGGGCCAGAAUCCGGGCAGCGUGCCAGGUGGCAGCGGGGAGGACCUUCACUUUUGGCAGACAAUAUGUUUUCUGACUCUGGGGAGCACCACCAAGUGUGUAGAUUUUAAAAUUAAGGUAACUGGCGGUGGGACAAGCCGAGCUGGGCAUCGCUUGAUGACGUCAGGAAACCAUCACGUCAGUUCCCUGUGCGUGGACCUAGCAGCACCGAGCGGCAUGGAGCAAGAGAGACUGCUUAGCAAUUUGUAAAUAAGCUGGAUGGGGUAUAAAUAUGUCUUAAAUGUAUGUCAUAUUGUGUAUGAUUAAACCGGACGACGGGUGUGAGCCCGAAACAUGACGUAGGAAUAAAGGACUAAUUUUUAAAGUCUAGAGCAUGCCGCCCAUGAUUCUUGUUACUACAUUGGGCCAUUGGACCUGGGGAGGGCACCAGAGCAAGAUAAAUGUGAAAGACCAGCAAUAAUGAGUGCCGGAUCAAGCUGUAUGUAUGUAUGUAUGUAUAUAUAUAUAUAUAUAUAUAUAUAUAUAAAAUGAAAAGUAUUGCGCCACUUGCGAGUAAAACAGAGCCUGAUAUUGUCUGGCAGGUAAAAAUAAUUCAAACACACACACACAUAUAUAUAUAUAUAUAUUUUAUAUAAAAACCACUCUGCAAUCUAUAUGGGCGUCAGCUAUUCCCAAAGUACACAGGAGUAGUAAGUCCCUGAAAUUUUUUGGAUAGGAAACGAAGGGGUUCUAAUCGGCCAAUGGUGUUUAUAUUGAAUAUAACUAAAUAAAGGAGCAAUGCUCAAUGUAUAUAAAAAUAUAUAUAUGAGAGAGACAGCAUUAUGCUAAAGCAGCUAUCAGCCAUCUUGUAUAACAGUAGCCAUUUUAGAGAUGCUUCAGGCUUCGUAAUGAGUUAUACAAAUGCUAACAUUUAGUUAAGUUAGAAUAGAGAGAAUGUUCUGUGAGACCCAAAGGUCAAGCUGGCCUCCUGGAAACAUGUUAUGAGACAGUUUGUUGAGAGUAUAGACUGCUUCCCAAGGACAGAAAGGAGGGGGUAGCGAGAGAGCAUUUCUCAGAAAAGACGCUUGUGUUUUGUUUUAUGACAUGUAUCAAGUUCUUCAUGCAAGUAACUUUUUGCUAUAUAAUCCCUAGACGAAUAAACGAGCUUCAGUCUCAUUCUGCUGACAUAACCCUGCAUCUUGUCUGCUUUCUGGGAUUCCCAAUGCAUUGGUAAAGGUAUCGAACAGACAACUGAAGGGAGUUGGUAGAGGAGUCUGAUCUCCAACAAUACAUGGGGCAUCGUGUCCGGGAUCACUGAACUGCCGACACCAGAUGACAACACAACUGAUGGACAUAUACAACCGCUGACA